UACGGAGGGGCUAGCGUUGUUCGGAAUUACUGGGCGUAAAGCGUACGUAGGCGGCUUUGUAAGUUAGAGGUGAAAGCCCGGGGCUCAACUCCGGAAUUGCCUUUAAGACUGCAUCGCUUGAAUCAUGGAGAGGUGAGUGGAAUUCCGAGUGUAGAGGUGAAAUUCGUAGAUAUUAGGAAGAACACCAGUGGCGAAGGCGGCUCACUGGCCCGGUACUGACGCUGAGG
rnacentral:rRNA from 1 species